GCAACAGAAACUCAAAUAACCACUCGCUACAACCAAGGUAUGCACAAUACCAUCCCUGAACACACAACACGCAUAGACAACACGUCAAACCUUGAAGCAGAUGGGCUACAGCAGCAGAAGGUCACACCGGGUGCCACUCCUGUCUGCUAAGAACAGGAAACUGAAGCUACAAUUCACACUUUUCCAGUAUCAAAGUACGCGCCUCUGCCUACAGUCUCAUAUUUAAGAAAGCCAAGAACAGCUCCACCUUCCAGCUAGAGCUUCCAGGGAGCUGACUUCAGCCCCAACCUGUGAAUGAUAUCUCAGUACCAGUGGAGGUCCGAUCACUACCUUCAUCCUGUGCCAGCAUCUGUAGCCACACAUCAGCCAGCCUCAUCAACAGCUGCCUCCUGCUCCUUCCACCUCCAGCCUCAAUGCCCACCUGCAUCCACAGCCACAGCCUUUGACCGCCAGCCAGCCAGUGCAGCCAUAACACAUCUUUCGUCAGCCAACAGCAGCUGAACCCUCUGCAUGCAGGUGCAGCUAUCCAACCGCAUCUCCAGGCAAUGCCGACAGCCUUGAGCAGCAAUCUUCAGCUUCCACCUGCGGCCACUGCCUGGCAACCAGUUUCAGCCCAACCUCCACAUUCAGCCUCGGGAUCCAAAAGCUCAUGGACCAGCAUCCUUCUGCAGUCCCCAGCAGCCAGCAGCCAGCAGCCAACUCAAAAG